AUGCACGCUGGCGGCGUGCCUAAUACAUGCAAGUCGCGCUAACAGACGAGGAGCUUGCUCCUCUGACGUUAGCGGCGGACGGGUGAGUAACACGUGGAUAACCUACCUAUAAGACUGGGAUAACUUCGGGAAACCGGAGCUAAUACCGGAUAAUAUAUUGAACCGCAUGGUUCAAUAGUGAAAGACGGUUUUGCUGUCACUUAUAGAUGGAUCCGCGCCGCAUUAGCUAGUUGGUAAGGUAACGGCUUACCAAGGCAACGAUGCGUAGCCGACCUGAGAGGGUGAUCGGCCACACUGGAACUGAGACACGGUCCAGACUCCUACGGGAGGCAGCAGUAGGGAAUCUUCCGCAAUGGGCGAAAGCUUGACGGAGCAACGCCGCGUGAGUGAUGAAGGUCUUCGGAUCGUAAAACUCUGUUAUUAGGGAAGAACAAAUGUGUAAGUAACUAUGCACGUCUUGACGGUACCUAAUCAGAAAGCCACGGCUAACUACGUG
rnacentral:rRNA from 1 species